GCUGCAGCCCAGCCUCUCUUCAGCCUACUCUGCCAGUUCUCUCAAGCAUGGUUUAAGGACCACCUUCAAUGAGAACAAAAGGAAAUGGAGACGUCCUUCCAUGAUGCGGUUUGUCUGCACCAGUAGUUUUGGGGGCCAAGAAGAGUGGUGGCCCAGAAGAAGGAAGAAUCCGUCAAAACACAAAAUAUCACCACAGUGGGCUUAGUCCUUAUUCUCUGGCUAUUGAAGUUCAAGCUGCACAACUGGCCUUAAGCGACACUAGCACUGCCUCCGUACUGGUUUAGCCUGAGUCUGCUGCAGCCCCUGAGUUUAGGAGAAAGAGAAGGAGAUGGGAAGCAGGAGAAGAGUUGUGGAGGUAGGAAGCUAAACCAGCAAGGAAGCUGGUCCCAUCCCUUUGUGGAGCCAUCCUGUAAAGAGAAGGGUUGUUCAAUCAACUUUCCUGCAGUGACAGUGCUGCAUAUUUGA
rnacentral:lncRNA from 1 species